UAGCAAUACGUGGCAUACGGCUCAGUAACACGUAGUCAACAUGCCCAGGGGACGUGGAUAACCUCGGGAAACUGAGGAUAAACCGCGAUAGGUCAUAAUAUCUGGAAUGAUUUCUGGCUAAAAUCUAUAUGGCCCCUGGAUUGGACUGCGGCCGAUCAGGCUGUUGGUGAGGUAAUGGCCCACCAAACCUAAAACCGGUACGGGCUCUGAGAGGAGAAGCCCGGAGAUGGGCACUGAGACAAGGGCCCAGGCCCUAUGGGGCGCAGCAGGCGCGAAAACUCUGCAAUAAGCGAAAGCUUGACAGGGUUAUUCUGAGUGAUUUCCGCUAAGGAAAUCUUUUGGCACCUCUAAAAAUGGUGCAGAAUAAGGGGUGGGCAAGCCUGGUGUCAGCCGCCGCGGUAAUACCAGCACCCCGAGUGGUCGGGACGAUUAUUGGGCCUAAAGCAUCCGUAGCCGGUUCUACAAGUCUUCCGUUAAAUCCACCUGCUUAACAGAUGGGCUGCGGAGGAUACUAUGGAGCUAGGAGGCGGGAGAGGCAAGCGGUACUUAGUGGGUAGGGGUAAAAUCCGUUGAUCCAUUGAAGACCACCAGUGGCGAAGGCGGCUUGCCAGAACGCACUCGACGGUGAGGGAUGAAAGCUGGGGGAGCAAACCGGAUUAGAUACCCGGGUAGUCCCAGCUGUAAACGAUGC
rnacentral:rRNA from 1 species